GAUGAACGCUAGCGGCAGGCCUAAUACAUGCAAGCUGAACGGCAAGAUUUGUAGCAAUACGAGUCCUAGAGUAGCGUAAGGGUGCGUAACACGUAUGCAAUCUGCCCGCAACAGGAGGAUAGCUUAGCGAAAGUUGAGAUAAGACUCCAUAAGAUCACGAGAGGGCAUCUGAUUGUGAUUAAACUACAAGGGGUUGCGGAUGAGCANGCGUCUGAUUAGUUAGUUGGCGGGGUAACGGCCCACCAAGACGAUGAUCAGUAGGGGAACUGAGAGGUU
rnacentral:rRNA from 1 species